AUCAUACAAUGCUGUGAUGGGGAGAAGCAUCAAGUCUGCACACUUGCAGACAGCAGCAGACAGCUUUGUGCUGUGGUGAAGCUCCUACAGUGACUGACAGCCUGCAGAGGAAACAACAGAUUAGGAAAGUAUUUGCCUGGUUUACGGUAACUGGAGGUGGAGAGCAAACAGUGAGCUGCCAACUCCAACCCACGUGACCUCGGGCCUCGAUUAAACACGUGCGUUGAUUUACUCCUAAACUUGGCACAAGUGCAAAUCCAGAAACUGCACGCAGGUCCAUGGUCCGUGUGUGUGGGUGCACAAAGCGAUGGACGGAUUCCCACCAUUGGACGAGGCGACGGAGGAAGAGAUCUUGAUUGGCUGGAGGGACAGCGACGUGGGCUGGAAGGGGCCUAGCGCUAGACAGGAGCCCCCCUGCAGUGACUGUGCCACUGAAGUUAGUGUGUGCAUGAUAGAAUUGUGUUUCUUUUCGGGCUUUGUGCUUAUUUUCGGCACAACGUAGGGGUGAGCUGCCAUUUUGUUUGGAUCUGUUUUCUCCUAUUAUUGCGCAGGGAGUUAGGGUUAGUGGAUGUCUUGGUUUUGCCAUUUUCUGUUGUGACAGGUCUUUGUGUUGGGAACCAUAGGCGCCGUUUUGUUUGUCGUUUCGGCCUUGGCUCACCCUGAAGUCCUGAAGUUGGUGGUUGUUUUUCCUUCCUUUUUUUCGUUACACUGUAAAUACACUUUGUCACUCACGGGUUGUUGGUUUGUGUGUAAAUAAAUAGCGAUUUUCAGUCAGAAUCAGAAUGACCUCAGUCCCAACUCUGUGCCAACCUUUGAAAUCAAUCCUCAGCUCCUCAGGAAAAAUCAGUGACUUGAGUGUUACAUACGGUCAAAGAAUUCUUUGAGGUUUUACAACCUGGAUUAUCAACAUAUUAGUGUUUAGGGAUUAGCCAAAGACGGUAACCUACUUGAUCUAUUCACACAAAGCUUCCAACUGCAAUAAGACAGAUUCAGCCAAUCAACCCAGGUGGCUGUUUUCUUGAGUUCUGUCCAUUAUAAUUGUAAAUAUUUAUAUAUUUUUGUUUUUGUAAUUGUCUGAAAAACCCACAAAAAAAUUAUAUUUUAUUUCUUACAAUUGUGUUUUCACAAAAGUGUGGACCAGAUUACAAUAGAUGCAUAUCUUAAACCUGACACUACAUCACAGUUUAUUAAUUAAUCCUUUACUCAGAUUGGGCAACCUAUUAGUUUAGUAAUACAUUUAUAGAAGAGCUGAUAUUUAUCAUAAAUCAUAUCUACAGUACAUCUACUGCUCUUAAGACAUUAUUAGUCAUCAUUGUCACCUGAUCUGGAUGCAUUCACACAUCUCGGCACAGCACAGUGCUCCUUGUAAAUGACAGUGAAGUAACACCAGGGCCUGUCUGUCCCACCAGGGUUACGACAGGUAGGUCACUGAGAAACAAAUGCUGCAGUUUAGCACAAGAAUUAUAGUCCCUGUUGGUUUAAAUCAUGUUGGAUUAUACUAAGAGGUCUCCCAAACUUUCCUCAUCCACACUUGUAUAGAUACUGUACAGUACAGGAGCUCUCACUUGCAGGGGUAGUUGUCUGGAGUAUAGCUGUUUCGGUACAACAGACUUGACCACCUACGGCAGGUUUUCCCAGACUUGGUCACAGAGAUUGUUCCUCUGUACGCUUUGCCUGUACCUGUGAAACACUCGACCUCUGGAACGACGGAUGGAGGCUUAGAGGCUGACAUGGAGAAUUGUUGAGGGAACAAAAAAAGACUUUAAAUAGCAGCACCUGAACACAACACAACAUUUACAGUUUAAGUCUCAUUGUUGGUGGAAAAGUGGAAAAAUAAUUGAGCCUUUCAUUUCACAAACAUCAUCAACAGAAAACUACGGUUUUAAAAUGUAAGAUCUGUCUAGUAUAUUUAGGUAUAUUUAAAUACUGUACAGUGACUUACUACAGCGAGGAAUAGAGCAGUAUUCCUUGCGAUGACUUGGCCUGGUGGUGAAGCGCCACGGUCUGAGGUCUCCAUCUGGAUUACGACAGUAGUUUUCUUCAAGAUGCUUGUUUAGAUGACUAGACAAAAGAUGAGCCUCUUUCAGCUUUUCUUUACAAUCUAGUAAAGUGUUCAAACUAAACUCAAUGGGGUCUCACGCGCUGGGGGUGUAGUCAUGCUUAUGAGGUGUCUGGGAGUCCCAGUGUUGGCAGGUGAGGCUGUUGUCAGUGAUGGAGAUUUUUCCUCUGUAGUCGUCACCGUUGCAGCGCAUACACUCCUCUAUAAGGCACAGAGUUUCUACUAAGUACAGUCUGUUAAAACCAGGAAAGCCUGCUAGGCUCCCUGCAGCCACCAGCACCCCUCUAGUGCCAAUGUCAUGCUUCACAUCAUACAAUGCUGUGAUGGGGAGAAGCAUCAAGUCUGCACACUGGCAGACAGCAGCAGACAGCUUUGAGCUGUGGUGAAGCUCCUACAGUGACUGACAGCCUGCAGAGGAAACAACAGAUUAGGGUAGAAAAUAAGACAACUCAAGUAUUACUCAAUAUUUGUCAUGAUGAGGUCUGAAAAUACAGUCCAACAACCUUUUUCACCUUUUGUGUUUUCUCAAAAUGCCCUUUACUGGAAUCGUGCUCUGACCCAGAAAGUAUUUGCCUGGUUUACGGUAACUGGAGGUGGAGAGCAAACAGUGAGCUCCAACUCCAACCCACGUGACCUCGGGCCUCGAUUAAAGACGUGCGUUGAUUUACUCCUAAACUUGGCACAAGUGCAAAUCCAGAAACCUGCACGCAGGUCCAUGGUCCGUGUGUGUGGGUGCACAAAGCGAUGGACGGAUUCCCACCAUUGGACGAGGCGACGGAGGAAGAGAUCUUGAUUGGCUGGAGGGACAGCGACGUGGGCUGGAAGGGGCCUAGCGCUAGACAGG